GAUGAAGAACGUAGCGAAAUGCGAUAAGUAAUGUGAAUUGCAGAAUCCAGUGAAUCAUCGAAUCUUUGAACGCACAUUGCGCCCGCCAGCAUUCUGGCGGGCAUGCCUGUUCGAGCGUCAUUUCAACCCUCGACCUCCCUUUGGGGAAGUCGGCGUUGGGGACCGGCAGCACACCACCGGCCCUGAAAUGGAGUGGCGGCCCGUCCGCGGCGACCUCUGCGUAGUAAUCCAACUCGCACCGGAACCCCGACGCGGCCACGCCGUAAAACACCCAACUUCUGAACGUUGACCUCGAAUCAGGUAGGACUACCCGCUGAACUUAAGCAUAUCAAUAAGCGGAGGA
rnacentral:misc_RNA from 1 species